rnacentral:rRNA from 1 species
UACGUAGGUGGCGAGCGUUAAUCGGAUUUACUGGGCGUAAAGGGUCCGUAGGGGGUCUGCCAAGUCGGAUGUGAAAUGCCUCGGCUCAACCGCGGCACUGCAUUCGAUACUGGCGGGCUUGAGUCCGCAAGGGGUGAACGGAAUUCCUGGUGUAGCGGUGGAAUGCGUAGAUAUCAGGAAGAACACCGAUGGCGAAAGCGGUUCACUGGUGCGGCACUGACCCUGAGGGACGAAAGCGUGGGUAGCAAACAGGAUUAGAUACCCUGGUAGUCCACGCCGUAAACGUUGUGCGCUAGAUGUGGGGGGACUGAUCCCCUCCGUGUCCAAGCUAACGCGAUAAGCGCACCGCCUGGGGACUACGGUCGCAAGACUAAA